rnacentral:rRNA from 1 species
AGAGCGCACGGAGGAUGCCUUGGCACUAGGAGCCGAAGAAGGACGUGACAAACGACGAAACGCUACGGGGAGCUGUAAGUAAGCAAAGAUCCGUAGAUAUCCGAAUGGGGGAACCCACCGCUUUUAAAAGGGCGGUACGCGAAAGCGAGGUAACGCAGGGAACUGAAACAUCUAAGUACCUGUAGGAAGAGAAAGAAAAAUCGAUUUCCUAAGUAGCGGCGAGCGAAAGGGAAAGAGCCCAAACCAAUAUGCUUGCAUAUUGGGGUUGUAGGACUCUCAAUAAAACGUAUGACAAAGUAUAGUAGAACGAGCUGGAAAGUUAGACCGUAGAAGGUAAAAGUCCUGUAUACGAAAUGCUGAGUUGGCGUGAGAGAGCACCUGAGUACGGCGGAACACGAGGAAUUCCGUCGGAAUCUACCAGGACCAUCUGGUAAGGCUAAAUACUACCUAGUGACCGAUAGUGAACCAGUACCGUGAGGGAAAGGUGAAAAGAACCCCGGGAGGGGAGUGAAAGAGAACCUGAAACCGUGUGCUUACAAGUAGUCAGAGCCCUUUAGGGGGUGAUGGCGUGCCUUUUGUAGAAUGAACCGGCGAGUUACUUUAUCAUGCGAGGUUAAGUGGAAGACAUGGAGCCGAAGCGAAAGCGAGUCUUAAUAGGGCGAAAUAGUAUGAUGGAGUAGACCCGAAACCAAGUGAUCUACCCAUGGCCAGGUUGAAGUUUAGGUAACACUGAAUGGAGGACCGAACCAGGACACGUUGAAAAGUGUUUGGAUGAGCUGUGGGUAGCGGAGAAAUUCCAAUCGAACUUGGAAAUAGCUGGUUCUCUCCGAAAUAGCUUUAGGGCUAGCCUCGUUGUGAGUUUACUGGAGGUAGAGCACUGUUUGGACUAGGGGCCCAUCCCGGGUUACCGAAUUCAGACAAACUCCGAAUGCCAGAUAAAUAUCAACGGGAGUCAGACUGCGGGUGAUAAGGUUCGUAGUCGAAAGGGAAACAGCCCAGACCGCCAGCUAAGGUCCCAAAUUGUAUGUUAAGUGGAAAAGGAUGUGAUGAUGCACAGACAACCAGGAUGUUGGCUUAGAAGCAGCCACCAUUUAAAGAGUGCGUAAUAGCUCACUGGUCGAGUGACAUCGCGCCGAAAAUGUACCGGGGCUAAACAUACAACCGAAGCUGCGGAUAUAACUAAUGUUAUAUGGUAGGAGAGCGUUCUAACAUCAUAGAAGCCGAACUGGAAGGUGAGGUGGAGAGGUUAGAAGUGAGAAUGCCGGUGUGAGUAGCGAAAGAUAGGUGAGAAUCCUAUCCACCGAAAGACUAAGGUUUCCAGAGGAAGGCUCGUCCGCUCUGGGUAAGUCGGGACCUAAGGUGAAGCCGAUAGGUGAAGCCGAUGGACAACAGGUAGAAAUUCCUGUACCACCGAAUAUCGAUUGAGAGAAGUGGGGACAGAGGAGGCUAAUUGAUCGCCCUGAUGGAAUAGGGCGUCUAAGCACAAAGACUGACAAGUAGGCAAAUCCGCUUGUUUAAAGGUUGAAGUGUGAUGGGGAGCGAAAUAUAGUAGCGAAGUCAAUGAAGCCAAACUCUCAAGAAAAGCCGCUAUCGAGAUAAGAGGUGCCCGUACCGCAAACCGACACAGGUAGUUGGGAAGAGAAUUCUAAGGUGAGCGAGAGAACCAUCGUUAAGGAACUCGGCAAAAUGACCCCGUAACUUCGGGAGAAGGGGUGCCUACGAGAGUAGGCCGCAGUGAAUAGGCCCAAGCGACUGUUUAUCAAAAACACAGGUCUCUGCAAAACCGAAAGGUGAAGUAUAGGGGCUGACGCCUGCCCGGUGCUGGAAGGUUAAGAGGAGUGCUUAGCGCAAGCGAAGGUAUGAAUUGAAGCCCCAGUAAACGGCGGCCGUAACUAUAACGGUCCUAAGGUAGCGAAAUUCCUUGUCGGGUAAGUUCCGACCCGCACGAAAGGCGUAACGAUUUGGGCACUGUCUCAACGAUGGACUCGGUGAAAUCAUAGUACCUGUGAAGAUGCAGGUUACCCGCGACAGGACGGAAAGACCCCAUGGAGCUUUACUGUAGCUUGAUAUUGAAUUUUGAUGCAGUAUGUACAGGAUAGGUAGGAGCCUGAGAAUCAUGCACGCCAGUGUAUGAGGAGGCGUUGUUGGGAUACUACCCUUGCUGUAUUGAAAUUCUAACCCUCGGCAUAGAAAACCGGGAGACAGUGUCAGGUGGGCAGUUUGACUGGGGCGGUCGCCUCCUAAAGAGUAACGGAGGCGUUCA